rnacentral:tRNA from 1 species
GGAGAGGUGGCCGAGAGGUCUAAAGCGAUGGAUUGCUAAUCCGUUGUACACAAAAGAUUGUACCGAGGGUUCGAAUCCCUCUCUCUCCC